GCUUAGUCGGUUAACAGUAGGACUCUUGACUUCAGCUCAGGUGGUGAUCUCACGGUUCGUGGGUUCGAGCCCCACAUUGGGCU
rnacentral:tRNA from 1 species